rnacentral:rRNA from 1 species
AUUGAACGCUGGCGGCAUGCCUUACACAUGCAAGUCGAACGGUAACGCGGGGCAACCUGGCGACGAGUGGCGAACGGGUGAGUAAUGCAUCGGAACGUGCCUGGUAGUGGGGGAUAACUGCUCGAAAGAGCAGCUAAUACCGCAUACGACCUGAGGGUGAAAGGGGGGGAUCGCAAGACCUCUCGCUCUCAGAGCGGCCGAUGUCGGAUUAGCUAGUUGGUGGGGUAAAGGCCCACCAAGGCGACGAUCCGUAGCUGGUCUGAGAGGACGACCAGCCACACUGGGACUGAGACACGGCCCAGACUCCUACGGGAGGCAGCAGUGGGGAAUUUUGGACAAUGGACGCAAGUCUGAUCCAGCCAUGCCGCGUGCGGGAAGAAGGCCUUCGGGUUGUAAACCGCUUUUGUCAGGGAAGAAAUCUUCUGGGUUAAUACCUCGGGAGGAUGACGGUACCUGAAGAAUAAGCACCGGCUAACUACGUGCCAGCAGCCGCGGUAA